CACUCCUACGGGAGGCAGCAGUGGGGAAUAUUGCACAAUGGGCGCAAGCCUGAUGCAGCCAUGCCGCGUGUAUGAAGAAGGCCUUCGGGUUGUAAAGUACUUUCAGCGGGGAGGAAGGCGAUAAGGUUAAUAACCUUGUUGAUUGACGUUACCCGCAGAAGAAGCACCGGCUAACUCCGUGCCAGCAGCCGCGGUAAUACGGAGGGUGCAAGCGUUAAUCGGAAUUACUGGGCGUAAAGCGCACGCAGGCGGUCUGUCAAGUCGGAUGUGAAAUCCCCGGGCUCAACCUGGGAACUGCAUUCGAAACUGGCAGGCUAGAGUCUUGUAGAGGGGGGUAGAAUUCCAGGUGUAGCGGUGAAAUGCGUAGAGAUCUGGAGGAAUACCGGUGGCGAAGGCGGCCCCCUGGACAAAGACUGACGCUCAGGUGCGAAAGCGUGGGGAGCAAACAGGAUUAGAAACCCUGGUAGUCCCAUGA
rnacentral:rRNA from 1 species